rnacentral:rRNA from 1 species
AUUGAACGCUGGCGGCAGGCUUAACACAUGCAAGUCGAGCGGGGUGAUGGUGCUUGCACUAUCACUUAGCGGCGGACGGGUGAGUAAUGCUUAGGAAUCUGCCUAUUAGUGGGGGACAACAUCUCGAAAGGGAUGCUAAUACCGCAUACGUCCUACGGGAGAAAGCAGGGGAUCACUGGUGACCUUGCGCUAAUAGAUGAGCCUAAGUCGGAUUAGCUAGUUGGUGGGGUAAAGGCCUACCAAGGCGACGAUCUGUAGCGGGUCUGAGAGGAUGAUCCGCCACACUGGGACUGAGACACGGCCCAGACUCCUACGGGAGGCAGCAGUGGGGAAUAGUGGACAAUGGGGGGAACCCUGAUCCAGCCAUGCCGCGUGUGUGAAGAAGGCCUUAUGGUUGUAAAGCACUUUAAGCGAGGAGGAGGCUCUUGGGGGGAAUACACAAGAUGAGGGGACGGUACUCGCAGAAUAAGCACCGGCUAACUCUGUGCCAGCAGCCGCAGUAA